UACAGAGGGUGCGAGCGUUUAAUCGGAAUUACUGGGCGUAAAGCGCGCGUAGGCGGCUUUGCAAGUCGAGUGUGAAAUCCCCCAGGCUUAACCUGGGAACUGCAUUCGAGACUGCAUAGCUAGAGUAUGGGAGAGGGAAGUGGAAUUUCAGGUGUAGCGGUGAAAUGCGUAGAUAUCUGAAGGAACAUCAGUGGCGAAAGCGACUUCCUGGACCAAUACUGACGCUCAUGCACGAAAGCGUGGGGAGCAAACAGG
rnacentral:rRNA from 1 species